rnacentral:tRNA from 1 species
AGUUCUAUACUUUAAUCAAAAGACUUGAUUUGCAAUCAGCCAUUGAGUGAUACCCCAACACUCUAGAACUACCA